CCCCGGAACGUGGGGAAAGGCGCGGACUACCGUUAGCCGCCGCCGCUGCGUUCUCCCGAGCCGGCGUCGCAGCUGGAGGGCCUGGCAGGUUGCGUGCUCCGCUGGACAGCUGCCUGGGGAGUCCCUGCGCCGGUCAAAGCCUGUGUUUCCUCCUCGCGAGGCUGAGGUUUGUCCUUUUAGAGACGAUCCUAGAACUGGAAUGAUACAGGAUGGAACUUUCUCAGACAGGCUGCUUUCACUCAGCAAUAAUGCCUGUGACAUCCACCCAAGCUGUCAUAAGGAACAACAGCUGAUGACCUUUUUCAUUGCCAAGCAACUCUCCGUUGUAUGAAUGUACCAAAGUGGGCUUGUUUCGUUUUUUAUUCACUCGCUUGUUGAAGGACAUCUGGGUUGUGUCCAGUUUUUGGUGGUCAUGAGGUCAUGAGUGGAGUUGCUAUAAACAUUUGUGUGAACUUGAGUUUCAUUUCUCUAAAGUUAACACCCACAUGUGAGAUUGCUGGGUCAUACAAUUAGCGUAUGUUUAACUUCAGAAGAAACUCCCAAAUGUUUUCUAGAAUGGUUGUACCAUUCUGUAUUUACUCCAACAACAUAUAAAAAUUCUAGCUGUGCCUUAUCCUUGACAAACAUGGUAUUGUAUUUUUUUAUUAUUAUAGCCAUUCUAAUAGGUAUGAGGUGGAUCUUAUUCUGGUUCUGUUUCUCUCUAGUGCCUAAUGAUGUUGAACAUAUUUAACUUGCCUAUUUACAUGCCAUCUAGACAGUCCCAAUGGGAAAAAGUCUGUUCAAGUCCUUUGCCCAUUUUUAAGCAAGUUAUGAUCUUGCUAUUGAGUUCUGAGAGUUCUUUAUAUAUUCAAAACACAAGUUCUCUGUUAGUACGUCAUUUGCAAAUAUUUCCUCCCAAGUUGGGAGUCUGUCUUUUCUUUCACUUAGUAGUGUCUUCACAGAGCAAAAGUUUUAAAUUUUAAUGAGACUCCAUUUACCAAUUUUUUCUUUAUGGACUUUGCUUUUGGUGGAAUGUCUUAAGAACUAAUCUCAAGUCAUGAUGAAGAUUUUUCUCCUGUGUGUGUGUGUGUGUGUGUGUGUGUGUGUGUGUGUGUGUGUUUGUGUUUCCCCUAAAGGUUAUCAUUACAUUUAAGUCUAGAAUACAUUAUGAGUUAAGUUUUCUGUAACGUGUGAGGUCUAAGUCAAGGCUCAGAUUUUUGCUUAUCGAUGUCCAGUUGUUCCAACACCAUUUGUUAAACUACCCUUUGCCCUGUGAUUGCUUUUGAAUCUUUGUCAAAAAUCAAUUACCCAAAUUUGUGUGCAUUUAGUUGUACACGAUUCUGCUCCACUGAUUUAUGUGUCUCCCCCUUAACCAGUAUCUGUACCUUAAUACUAAGUCUUUAAAUAAUGUGAUUCCUCCAAGUUUAUUCUUUCUCAGACUUAUUUUGACUAUUCCAGUUUGUCUGCCUAUCUAUGUAAAUAUUCCAAUCAGCUCUAAGGUUAAAAAAAACUCAAUACCUAUCUAUCUAUCCACAUGCGCGCGCACGCACGCACGCACACACACACACACACACACACACACAGAUAUACAGGCAUAUAUCUUAGCAAUAUUGCAGGUUCAGUUACAGACCACUGCAAUAAAGGAAAUAUUGCAAUAAAGCAAGUCAAGUGAAUUUUUUUUUGUUUCUCAGUGCGUAUAGGAGUUAUAUUUAUACUGUAGACUGUUAAAUGUGCAAUAGCAUUAUGUCUUAAAAAAGGGGUACGCCUUAAUUAAAUGUACAGAACUUUAUUACUCCCAAAUGCCAACCAUCACCUGAGCUUUCAGUCAGUCAUAAUCACUCAUCAUAGAUCACCAUAACAAAUGCAGUAACAAGAAGUUUUUAAGAUUGCAAAGAUUACUAAAACAUGACACAAAGACACAGUGAGAAAAUGCUGUUGGGAAAACGGCACCAAUAGAUUUCCUUGAUGUGAGUUUGCCACAAACCUUCAAUUUGUAAAAAAGAGUAUCUGCAAAGUGUGAUAAAGCUAAGUGCGAUAAAACAAGGUAUGCCUGUGUAGAUUAAUGGAUCUCAACUUUUCUUCAUUACCACCUUUUCCAAGGAGAAAAAUUGAAGUUAAAAUUCAAGCAAUUAUUUAUAAUUAAUACUAAAGAACAAGGUUUUGCUGGUUAGAGAGAAUUUUAUUUCUUCCUUUCAAAUCUAUUUAUUUCUUUUUCUUGUGUUAUUGCACCGGCCAGGAUGUCAAGUAUGAUGUGGAAUAAACAUGUUGAGCAUGAA